CCUACGGGAGGCAGCAGUGGGGAAUAUUGGGCAAUGGGCGCAAGCCUGACCCAGCAACGCCGCGUGAAGGAAGAAGGCUUUCGGGUUGUAAACUUCUUUUAAGGGGGAAGAGCAGAAGACGGUACCCCUUGAAUAAGCCACGGCUAACUACGUGCCAGCAGCCGCGGUAAUACGUAGGUAGCAAGCGUUGUCCGGAUUUACUGGGUGUAAAGGGCGUGCAGCCGGAGAGACAAGUCAGAUGUGAAAUCCACGGGCUCAACCCGUGAACUGCAUUUGAAACUGUUUCCCUUGAGUGUCGGAGAGGUAAUCGGAAUUCCUUGUGUAGCGGUGAAAUGCGUAGAUAUAAGGAAGAACACCAGUGGCGAAGGCGGAUUACUGGACGAUAACUGACGGUGAGGCGCAAAAGCGUGGGGAGCAAACAGGAUUAGAUACCCUUGUAGUC
rnacentral:rRNA from 1 species